rnacentral:rRNA from 1 species
UACGAAGGGAGCUAGCGUUGUUCGGAAUUACUGGGCGUAAAGCGUGCGCAGGCGGCUUCUCAAGUCAGGGGUGAAAGCCCAGAGCUCAACUCUGGAAUUGCCUUUGAGACUGAGUGGCUUGAGUACGAGAGAGGUGAGUGGAAUUCCCAGUGUAGAGGUGAAAUUCGUAGAUAUUGGGAAGAACACCGGUGGCGAAGGCGGCUCACUGGCUCGUAACUGACGCUCAUGCACGACAGCGUGGGGAUCAAACAGG